GGGGGCGUAAAGGUUUCGACGGGGGUUUCGAAACGGAGUAAGCGAGCAGAAGCGCAUAACUUCUUUAAAAUGUGCAAAUUAAAAUUAAACGCUAACGAUAAUACCGUAGCUCUCGCUGCCUAACGCAGCGGGCGUCGUACCGGGGAGGACUGCGGCCCCGGAUACGGCGUGACUGAGCAGUGAACGUGAACAGGGUCAAGCUUUGCCCCCUGUCAGGCAUUAAUGAAGCUACUCUUCCCGGAGGUCCGCCGACCGUCCUCCGGGCGGGGGAAUACUAAAGUUCGGCUGCGCUCGGAGAAAACACCGCGGACAGGCUUUCGGACAGGGGUUCGAUUCCCCUCGCCUCCACCA
rnacentral:tmRNA from 1 species